GGAUGCAAAGGUGAUCUGGCUAAGACAUCUAUCACCCCACUGAUCGCCUGGGUUGAUUUGGCUGAGCUGGCUGGCUAGGCAGGUGUCCUCUUCCUCCCUCACCACUCCAUGUGCGUUCCCCCUGAAGCUGUGCACUCGGUCGAAGAGGACGACCACCCCCAAUAGAGGGGGACUGUUUCCUCGGUCAGGGGUAUACAAGUGGCUGCUCUAGAACCUCCAAAUCAUACAUUAUAAAGCUAAUACAAAAAGUAUGCCUUU
ensembl:misc_RNA 7SK 7SK RNA